UAUUGCAUAGAUUUAAUGCACUGGAUCCCAUUAGAACUCCGCAGUUAAGCACGCUCAGGCUAGAGUAGUAUUGGGAUGUAGUACUGAGAUGGGUGAUUGCUUGGGAACGAAGGGUAGCCAACAU
rfam:Picea glauca, whole genome shotgun sequence.